rnacentral:rRNA from 1 species
UACGUAGGGUGCGAGCGUUUAAUCGGAAUUACUGGGCGUAAAGGGUGCGCAGGCGGUUUUGUAAGCCAGAUGUGAAAUCCCCGGGCUUAACCUGGGAAUGGCAUUUGGGACUGCAAGGCUGGAGUGCGGCAGAGGAGACUGGAAUUCCUGGUGUAGCAGUGAAAUGCGUAGAUAUCAGGAGGAAUACCGAUGGCGAAGGCAGGUCUCUGGGCUGACACUGACGCUCAUGCACGAAAGCGUGGG